rnacentral:rRNA from 1 species
CGGGUGAAAAGCCCGCUCGCCGGAAGACCAAGGGUUCCUGUCCAACGUUAAUCGGGGCAGGGUGAGUCGACCCCUAAGGCGAGGCCGAAAGGCGUAGUCGAUGGGAAACAGGUUAAUAUUCCUGUACUUGGUGUUACUGCGAAGGGGGGACGGAGAAGGCUAUGUUGGCCGGGCGACGGUUGUCCCGGUUUAAGCGUGUAGGCUGGUUUUCCAGGCAAAUCCGGAAA